rnacentral:ribozyme from 12 species
UUUCAUUUCUCUCUUUUUUUCUUCUUCUUCUUGUAAAUUCUAAAAAAACACACACACAAGUCUCUAGAGAAUGGAUACAA